UUCAGUCCAGGAUUGUAAUAUAUUUGAUUUCUUCAUUUCAUAUAAGAUAUACACAAAAUACACUCUGGGGUCUGCUGGAACCUCAAGGCCUUGGUGGAGAGAGAGAGGAACCAGAUGAGCAAAUGGGGAGAGCAGGGAAGUUUCAGAGGAGGGAAACAUGAAGGAGUGAGAUUGCUGGUUUUAAUCUGCUUCCAUGGACUGAAACUACUCCUGCGUUCAAACUGGCAUUGCUGACAGGGAGACAACUGCAGUUUGGGGAUCAGUUCUCUGGGACCUGCAACCUGCCUGGCAAGGAAGCCUCAUCAGGAUUGCCACUUUCCUGCAUUUUGAAGAACCUUCCUCCUCAUCCCACCUGAAGAGAGAUACAUGCCAAAAUCUUAAACUCCCAGAAUGUCCCAGGUUGGAAGAGACCUGUAGAAGUGUGGUCAUCUUUGAAGUCUAAUUUAAAUGGACAAGCUAUGGUCAGGAUAUCAGUCUCCAAACCCCAGGUAGUUCCAAGAGGUUUGGUUUUGGAAUGCAC